UACGUAGGGACCAAGCGUUGUUCGGAUUUACUGGCGUAAGGGCGCGUAGGCGGCUUGUCAAGUCACUUGUGAAAUCUCUGGGCUUAACCCAGAACGGCCAAGUGAAACUGACAUGCUAGAGUGCAGAAGGGGCAAUCGGAAUUCUUGGUGUAGCGGUGAAAUGCGCAGAUAUCAGGAGGAACACCGGUGGCGAAGGCGGGUCUCUGGGCCGAUACUGACGCUGGAGGAGCGAAAGCGUGGGAGCAAACAGG
rnacentral:rRNA from 1 species